UACAGAGGUCUCAAGCGUUGUUCGGAUUCAUUGGGCGUAAAGGGUGCGUAGGCGGCGCGGUAAGUCGGGUGUGAAAUCUUGGAGCUUAACUCCGAAACUGCAUUCGAUACUGUCGUGCUUGAGGACUGGAGAGGAGACUGGAAUUUACGGUGUAGCGGUGAAAUGCGUAGAUAUCGUAAGGAAGACCAGUGGCGAAGGCGGGUCUCUGGACAGUUCCUGACGCUGAGGCACGAAGGUCAGGGGAGCAAACGGG
rnacentral:rRNA from 1 species